UUAAUGAUAACUGCACGAUCAUUACUUCAAAUGGCCAUCCCUAGUUUGACUCCAUCUUCAGAAUCAGAAUCAUCUUUAUUUGCCAAGUAUGUCCAAAAAACACAUAAGGAAUUUGGCUUCUCAACAAUAAUUAAUUGUUCAUUUUUCAUUCAAUUUAAAAUAUAUCUUUAAGUCCCAUGCCUAGUUUGUGUACAUUUUGCAUACACCUCCGUCUUCUUCCCCAGCUGAGAUCAGUUGUGAUCCUUUGUCCUCCUUGACCCUCUGUUGAACUGUCCCUCCAUUAUCUUUGUCUGCGAACCCUCCUCGCAUGCACCACAGGAUAUGGUUCCCCUGCCACCACCUCCCCUCCCCUCCCCUCCCCUCCCCACACCUCUUCUGGCCAGAAAAUGUAGCUCUGGAUCCUUGAUGGCCUUCUGCACUGCGACACUUAGUUCCCGUCCAUUGCCUGCUGCCCGCCCGCUAAUCGGGAUUGGUGGAAAAGAAAGCAUCACUGUGAGACGUUGUGUCCCCUGAAGCCCACAGAACCAGGCCAAGGUCACUCACACCGUUCUUGCAUGACGGCUGCCUGCUGCGACCAGCGAGAUAUUUGCUACUUUAAAGGACAGAACAACAAGAGAGGUCACCCAACUUGAGAAGUUGAACAUAAAUGACAAAGCAGCUGCUAAUUUUAUUACUGAAAUACAAUUAGAUAUUAUUUCAAGAUCAUAUUCCAGUUUUCUCUUUGUAAUGAAAUAAUCUGUCUUUUCUGAGUUGGAGUGUGAGCUCAUAGGUAACCUAUUUUCUGCUCUCCCCUUGAUCAUCACUCAUUAAUAAUUAACUCACGCCCCAUUUGUUUUUGUACGAGAUAGCAAUUUCAACUUGUGAGGAAUUAAUGGCACACACAAAAGAGGUACGGUGGUGAAGGAGAUACACCGCGUCGAUGGAAUGUAAAGCAACACGUAGCAAUCAAGCGUACCCCUGUGGUGUGUGUUAUUUUGGAUAAGAUUGGUGCCAUUGCUCUGCUGACAAUGGAGGAGGCUUGCUCACAGAGACACAGGAUGUAUGUGAUCAGGAUGAGAUGAGAAGCAACACAGACAAAAUGUUUUCUGCUAAGUACAAGCCUGCCACAGACCAGACAACACAAUGUAAAUAAAUGACAUGCAAUAUCCCGUUGAGGAAUAACAACACUGACUGUAUUGCCAACAACAAAACUUGACUACUUUCAACUGAAUUACAUUCUCAUGGUAUUUUCAAGCAGAUGUAUUUUAUUUCAAGUACUAUAUUGUGGUUGGUUUAACACAUUUCUACAUUAGUUUAAAAAUGACAUACAGUUUAAAAAAUAAUAAAUUGUUUUGGAAUCUCUCAAGUUUUAGAAGUUCUGUGGUUUCAUUUUUGAGCAAGAAACGUCCAUAGUGGGAAUUAUUUAUUUAAAAUAUUUUCUUACUGUGACAUCACACUUUCGUUGAUUUAAAAAGUUGAUAUUUGGAACCGCUUGCUCACACACGCUUUUUGGGAAAUAAGCAGCUAACGAGAGAUUUACUUCAUUGUGUAAUUUCACACUUUAUGGGCGGGGAGGCACUCCAGAGAUCCAACUAAUUGUAUACAGCAAUAAAAAGUCAAUUUUCCAGAAAACACUAUCUCCCCUUUCAGCCAUGGCCACCCUCCAAAUUUUGAGUUUUAUGGUGGCUUGAGGUUUCAGUGUUUUUAGUGCCUCACUCUCAAAGCAAUGAUAAAUGUAAUUUAAUAAAAUGCAUUUGAUCUGAAUCAAAAGCGACACAUUAAAACAUAAUUCAAUAAAACUGAACUGCUGACUGUCACACUGGAAUGCAGAGAACAAAAAACUGGAACACUUGCAUAAGGAAAUAAUGGCGCCCACAGACAUGAUACAAAAAAGAUUAUAGAUUUAAAUGCUGAUGCUGAAAUAUGGGUUUCCAAAAAUCUUCACCCUGAUGGGAGAAAGUCAGUUUCCAGCCAUCUAAAACAUAGCUUGCAUGUGGAUGAAGGGCCAAAGCUCAAUCAACGUUUUUUCUUUCUUUUUUUUUUAAUACUCAUAUGUGGACAUUGCUUGAAACUCGUUAAGUCUGGAAGCCAGUGAAAAGCUCUUGCAGCCCUGCAGGGGAGAGUUUCUCGCCUCCAUUUUGGUUUUCCCCCCACACAAUAGAGCUCAGAGAAGACUUGGUAAAUCAGACGCAAGGCAGGAAUCUGUUUCUUUUUGUUAUCACAAGUAGGUCUAAUCCAUUACAGCCAGUGGGGGGAAAGUAGCAGAGUAAUCUCAUAAAACCGAAUGUGAUUGUUUGUAGGAUUAGUCCUUCACAGGAUGGAGGAAAAUGUAUACUUUGAUUGACUGAGAACGAUUGGUAGGCGACAUCGUGCACACAUCUUGAUUAACUCCUAAAGAUAAGACUAAGUACGUUUUGGCUUGGAAAAUCAAUACAUUGAAUAAACAUUUACUCCUUAAACAUGAACAUGACUGGAAAGUGAUCGUAUUAAAUCACGUGUUGCAUGAAGUACAUUAAUAAAUAGGAAAUAUGUGGAUUUCGCUGAACAAAUGGGUGCCCACAUGAUUGACACUGUUCAACUACAGAUUUGUUUGGAUUUUGAAAACUUUUGUCCAUAUAAACAAUUUAAAUAUGUUCAUAUGUCAAACUUGUGAAACUAAAAAACCUUUGAAAAACGGUAUGUCACG